UCUAUGGUAGAAUGAAGGAAUGUCAGAAUGAAGGAAUGUCAGGAUGCUCUAUGGUAGAAUGAAGGAAUGUCAGAAUGAAGGAAUGUCAGGAUGCUCUAUGGUAGAAUGAAGGAAGGUGAGGAUGCUCUAUGGUAGAAUGAAGGAAUGUCAGGAUGCUCUAUGGUAGAAUGAAGGAAUGUCAGAAUGAAGGAAUGUCAGGAUGCUCUAUGGUAGAAUGAAGGAAUGUCAGGAUGCUCUAUGGUAGAAUGAAGGAAUGUCAGGAUGCUCUAUGGUAGAAUGAAGGAAUGUCAGAAUGAAGGAAUGUCAGGAUGCUCUAUGGUAGAAUGAAGGAAUGUCAGGAUGCUCUAUGGUAGAAUGAAGGAAUGUCAGAAUGAAGGAAUGUCAGGAUGCUCUAUGGUAGAAUGAAGGAAUGUCAGGAUGCUCUAUGGUAGAAUGAAGGAAUGUCAGAAUGAAGGAAUGUCAGGAUGCUCUAUGGUAGAAUGAAGGAAUGUCGGGAUGCUCUAUGGUAGAAUGAAGGAAUGUCGGGAUGCUCUAUGGUAGAAUGAAGGAAUGUCGGGAUGCUCUAUGGUAGAAUGAAGGAAUGUCAGGAUGCUCUAUGGUAGAAUGAAGGAAUGUCAGGAUGCUCUAUGGUAGAAUGAAGGAAUGUCAGGAUGCUCUAUGGUAGAAUGAAGGAAUGUCAGAAUGAAGGAAUGUCAGGAUGCUCUAUGGUAGAAUGAAGGAAUGUCAGGAUGCUCUAUGGUAGAAUGAAGGAAUGUCAGAAUGAAGGAAUGUCAGGAUGCUCUAUGGUAGAAUGAAGGAAUGUCAGAAUGAAGGAAUGUCAGGAUGCUCUAUGGUAGAAUGAAGGAAGGUGAGGAUGCUCUAUGGUAGAAUGAAGGAAUGUCAGGAUGCUCUAUGGUAGAAUGAAGGAAUGUCAGAAUGAAGGAAUGUCAGGAUGCUCUAUGGUAGAAUGAAGGAAUGUCAGGAUGCUCUAUGGUAGAAUGAAGGAAUGUCAGGAUGCUCUAUGGUAGAAUGAAGGAAUGUCAGAAUGCUCUAUGGUAGAAUGAAGGAAUGUCAGGAUGCUCUAUGGUAGAAUGAAGGAAUGUCAGAAUGAAGGAAUGUCAGGAUGCUCUAUGGUAGAAUGAAGGAAUGUCAGGAUGCUCUAUGGUAGAAUGAAGGAAUGUCAGGAUGCUCUAUGGUAGAAUGAAGGAAUGUCGGGAUGCUCUAUGGUAGAAUGAAGGAAUGUCAGGAUGCUCUAUGGUAGAAUGAAGGAAGGUCAGGAUGCUCUAUGGUAGAAUGAAGGAAGGUCAGGAUGCUCUAUGGUAGAAUGAAGGAAGGUGAGGAUGCUCUAUGGUAGAAUGAAG
rnacentral:lncRNA from 1 species